UAUUCAGGCUCUCUUUCAUUUCCAGAGGCAGUUGCGAUGAGAAAUUGGAUGCUAUCCAGUUUGGAUUUAUAAGGAAGCAGAAAAGGAGAUAAUGGCGGAAAGGCCAGUGGGCCACAGUGUUUUAAUAUGAGUCUGCUCUAAUCCUGUGACCUUACAUAUGCACUUGAAAAGAACUGUAGGCAACCUGGCUUUGUUUGCUACCAUGGAACUACUGCAGGGGACUGAAGAAGGAAGCCAUUUGCUUUGCAGUAAGUUUUGGUCACGUCAGUUAAACCCACCUAAAAGAAGGAGGAAGAAAGAGAAAAAUGACUGUUCAGUGAACCUCAGGAGAAUUAUGAAGUUAUACAGCCUCAGAAGGAUUUUAGGCAGUUUUAUAUUGCCCAGCUCAGCUCACAUUUAUAUCAUCUGUCUCAGUGCCUGAAAUGAGAUAAGCUAUGUGCUUGAUAGAGAAAAGGACUUCUACUGACUGAUGUAUCUAAGAAAUCUGUUUUAGAUAUGGCUGGAUGAAACAGAAAAGAGGGCUUCUAGAUGCACAGAAGAUGAACUUUGCUAUAAUAUAUCUCAUGUAAGAAAGAACUAGAUAAUGCUCAAAAAAAAAAAUUGUACAUGGAAGAAAACAGAGAAUCAGUAAAGAGCAAGGAAUUUUCAUAAAAGUUAAACAUUUCCAUGUGAACUUAUUUAUGUCCAAAUUACUUCUUGAACUUGGAGGAGGAAAACUUGCAGCAAUCUGGAAAGUUGUGCUGUAAAUUUAACUGCUAUUCUAGACAAAAACAUAAACAUAUCCUAAUUCAGUGUAAUUAUCCAACUGUGCAUGGAUUUUGACUGUGAGACACUGAGAAAGUCUUCUAAGGAUCUGGAGAUAUUCUGAAGCAUAAUGUUCUGCCAGUGAAGAUUUAUCUACAGUUUCACCUGAUAAGAUUUUUCAUCUUGUUUUGAACAGCAUAAUUUACCAUACUCAGCGUGCUGUAUUGCAUUCAUAUAUGUAGAGAAGAACUGGAUUGAUUAUCUUCAGGCUUCAUGACACUAAACUCAGCAAAUUAGCUGCUCAUGAUUCCAGCAAAUGACUGUUUUUUUUUUUUUUUUUUUUUUUUUCCUAGUGCUCCAGGAGAGAUUGAACUGUAAAGCUUUAGCUGGGAAGCUAAGAACUUAUUUAGAAACUACUGAAAGAGGAAAUAAAUAUGUAGCUGUUGUUAUAAUUAGUAAAGUAGUGCAGCAAUAUAUGAGAUGGUUAUGAUAUCUCAAAGAAAUUAAGCUCCAUUUCUCAGGGCAUUUUUUUCUGUAGAGGUAGAUCGGCUGAUGUGUUUCACAUUCAAUGGCAAUAUCCAGCUUUAGCGGAGCUGAUGGAGGCUGGUCUGCUUCCCUGCAGUCCCCAGAAAGGACCUUGAACAUAUCCUCAUCGAAUUCAUUGCAUAAUGUGGGAAGGAUGAGAUGUCCUUCAGCCAACAAGGGUUUACCAAGAGCAACCCAUGCUUGGCUAACCUGUCUCAUCUCCAUGCUGACAUAAGAGCCUACAUGGACUUUCCCCAACCUCCUCCUCUGAAAGCCAAGGAGGCUGGGUUGGAUGAUUAGCCCCUUAGUGUGGUCCAAUCUUGCCUGAGAGGUUCUCUGGAAAGGAAAUGAUAAAACUAUGGAGCCAAACUCUUGUCGGUGCUGUCAGCUGGGAAACAGCCAGACAUUAUAGAGACUUCCUGACUAGGCAGCACUGGACCAGGUCACCCAGAGUAACUGUGACAUCUCCAGACUUGGGAAAUUUAAAGACCCACUCAGAAAGCCACUGCUGACCUGAUAUCAUGCUGGUGACAGUCAUGCAUCAGGCAGGAGAUUGCACUUAAGAGUCCUCCAGAGGUCCUUUCCAGUCCAUACUUCUACUAAUAUGAUUAUGUGAAAAGAAAAAAAAUAAAAAAGUUUAAAAAAGAAGGGAAAAAAAAGGAAAAAAUGUGGGAUUUGAACCCCAGAGUUUUAAUCUUUGGACAUACACCAACACUAUUUUGUUUUGAAAGUGUAUUCCACAGUUAAAUAUAUCAAAUUUUGUUCCCAUUUUCAAAAAAAAUGCUAGGAUCAAGGAACAAUAACUUCAGUCAUAAAAUAAGAUAGAAAUCAGGCCAAAAUAUUUUGGUUUAGGUUAUCCAGGACCAGGUAGGAUAGAAAACUGAUCUGAGACAUGAGGAGAUCUGUGAACCCAUCAAAGAGAGAAAUUCUGAUGCAGCAAGCUGAAAACAUCAGGAGCCAACACUGAUAAACCCAAUAUCCAUUCCAAGAUCUUCAAAGUAAAAGACCUGUUUCAUUCCUAACAUUAGAAUUAUACAAUUAUAUACACAGACUGUAUAUGGAGACUAUAAAAAACUAUAUAAAAGAACAAGAAUCUUUACAUAUUGAACUAUACCGAGCACCUUAUAACUGCAGCACAGACAGCAGAUGCAUUUAUUGAUACUAUUCAUAUUAUUUCUUGAGCAACCUCGGAGGUCAGUCUCUGAGGUAGUAUCAUAAAGUCGGAGGACCUGACAUUACUGGCAUUAAUCCUUUGUCUCGGGUGGGAUAUGGUGGCAGAGUAAACAACAGGGGACUAGAUAGAGGAGAUGGAAGAAAAGGAUUCACACAUCAAUUAUUCUUGUCUUAUUGCUGUAGUACUUUGUCAUGGACAAGGCACACAAUUAAAGUGCUUUAAAAACA